rnacentral:rRNA from 1 species
UACGUAGGGUGCGAGCGUUGCCCGGAUUUAUUGGGCGUAAAGGGCGCGUAGGCGGUGAGAUGCGUCCGUUGUGAAAUCGCCCGGCUCAACUGGGCGGGGUCAGCGGAUACGGUCUCACUCGAGCAAGCUAGGGGGCAAUGGAAUUCCCGGUGUAGUGGUGGAAUGCGUAGAUAUCUGGAGGAACACCGGUGGCGAAGGCGGCAUUCUGGACCGACAUUGACGCUGAGGAGCGAAAGCCAGGGGAGCAAACGGG